rnacentral:sRNA from 5 species
AUUCUUCCAAUGCAGGGAAGGAUGAGAAGCUUCGACCAAGGUUCGAUUCGAGCGUAGCGAGAAAGCGUUGCCGCAGGCAACGACCCGAAGGGCGAGGCGUAGCCGAGUUAUCCUUCCCCCACCACCA